rnacentral:rRNA from 1 species
ACGGAAGGCAGCAGUGAGGAAUAUUGGUCAAUGGACGGAAGUCUGAACCAGCCAUGCCGCGUGAAGGAAUAAGGCCCUAUGGGUCGUAAACUUCUUUUGUGGUGGAGCAAUAAGGUGCACGUGUGCAUCGAUGAGAGUACAUCACGAAUAAGCAUCGGCUAACUCCGUGCCAGCAGCCGCGGUAAUACGGAGGAUGCGAGCGUUAUCCGGAUUUAUUGGGUUUAAAGGGUGCGUAGGCUGUUCUUCAAGUCAGAGGUGGAAUACCGGGGCUCAACCCUGGAACUGCCUUUGAUACUGGAGGGCUUGAAUACUGUUGCCGUGGGAGGAAUGAGUAGUGUAGCGGUGAAAUGCAUAGAUAUUACUCAGAACACCGAUUGCGAAGGCAUCUCACGAAGCAGCGAUUGACGCUGAGGCACGAAAGCGUGGGGAUCAAACAGGAUUAGAUACCCUGGUA